CCAAGUUCACAAGAAACUUUUACAGGGAGUUUUAAUUACAGACAUGGAGUUUGAGAUUUCCUCCACGGGUUCCUGUGCCCCAUCCCUACCUUCUUCCCAGGACUGGUAUGAAAAGAACAAAACACCGAGAGAAAAACUAAAUGAAGCUUUGCAGAGACUUUCAGUCAAUAUGGAU